AAAAAAAAAAAAAAAAACAAUUAGCAAGGGGAAACAAAACUCCAAUCGAUUCACGAUUAGAUUCAGGAACAAACAGUAUGCCAUAGAGAAAUAAAACUCAUUGAUUCACCAUCAGAUUCAACAAUGGAUUCAAAAGCUUCAUAAUUCAACAAUCAAACCAUGCAACAACCAAUUAUAUUGAGUAAACUCCAUCAAAGCAGAGUAGAAGAUGAGUCGCUGCUGUGGAUCUCAACAAUAUCUUUAAGAACGAAGGGAUGCUGCUUUAGAAGAAGAAGAAGAAGAAGA
rnacentral:misc_RNA from 1 species